UACAGAGGUCUCAAGCGUUGUUCGGAUUCAUUGGGCGUAAAGGGUGCGUAGGCGGCGCGGUAAGUCGGGUGUGAAAUCUCGGGGCUUAACUCCGAAACUGCAUUCGAUACUGCCGUACUUGAGGACUGGAGAGGAGACUGGAAUUUACGGUGUAGCGGUGAAAUGCGUAGAUAUUGGGAGGAACACCAGUGGCGAAGGCGGCUCACUGGACCGGUUCUGACGCUGAGGCGCGAAAGCGUGGGGAGCAAACGGG
rnacentral:rRNA from 1 species